GGUUAAGCGACUAAGCGUACACGGUGGAUGCCCUGGCAGUCAGAGGCGAUGAAGGACGUGCUAAUCUGCGAUAAGCGUCGGUAAGGUGAUAUGAACCGUUAUAACCGGCGAUUUCCGAAUGGGGAAACCCAGUGUGUUUCGACACACUAUCAUUAACUGAAUCCAUAGGUUAAUGAGGCGAACCGGGGGAACUGAAACAUCUAAGUACCCCGAGGAAAAGAAAUCAACCGAGAUUCCCCCAGUAGCGGCGAGCGAACGGGGAGCAGCCCAGAGCCUGAAUCAGUGUGUGUGUUAGUGGAAGCGUCUGGAAAGGCGCGCGAUACAGGGUGACAGCCCCGUACACAAAAAUGCACAUGCUGUGAGCUCGAUGAGUAGGGCGGGACACGUGGUAUCCUGUCUGAAUAUGGGGGGACCAUCCUCCAAGGCUAAAUACUCCUGACUGACCGAUAGUGAACCAGUACCGUGAGGGAAAGGCGAAAAGAACCCCGGCGAGGGGAGUGAAAAAGAACCUGAAACCGUGUACGUACAAGCAGUGGGAGCACGCUUAGGCGUGUGACUGCGUACCUUUUGUAUAAUGGGUCAGCGACUUAUAUUCUGUAGCAAGGUUAACCGAAUAGGGGAGCCGAAGGGAAACCGAGUCUUAACUGGGCGUUAAGUUGCAGGGUAUAGACCCGAAACCCGGUGAUCUAGCCAUGGGCAGGUUGAAGGUUGGGUAACACUAACUGGAGGACCGAACCGACUAAUGUUGAAAAAUUAGCGGAUGACUUGUGGCUGGGGGUGAAAGGCCAAUCAAACCGGGAGAUAGCUGGUUCUCCCCGAAAGCUAUUUAGGUAGCGCCUCGUGAAUUCAUCUCCGGGGGUAGAGCACUGUUUCGGCAAGGGGGUCAUCCCGACUUACCAACCCGAUGCAAACUGCGAAUACCGGAGAAUGUUAUCACGGGAGACACACGGCGGGUGCUAACGUCCGUCGUGAAGAGGGAAACAACCCAGACCGCCAGCUAAGGUCCCAAAGUCAUGGUUAAGUGGGAAACGAUGUGGGAAGGCCCAGACAGCCAGGAUGUUGGCUUAGAAGCAGCCAUCAUUUAAAGAAAGCGUAAUAGCUCACUGGUCGAGUCGGCCUGCGCGGAAGAUGUAACGGGGCUAAACCAUGCACCGAAGCUGCGGCAGCGACGCUGAUGCGUUGUUGGGUAGGGGAGCGUUCUGUAAGCCUGCGAAGGUGUGCUGUGAGGCAUGCUGGAGGUAUCAGAAGUGCGAAUGCUGACAUAAGUAACGAUAAAGCGGGUGAAAAGCCCGCUCGCCGGAAGACCAAGGGUUCCUGUCCAACGUUAAUCGGGGCAGGGUGAGUCGACCCCUAAGGCGAGGCCGAAAGGCGUAGUCGAUGGGAAACAGGUUAAUAUUCCUGUACUUGGUGUUACUGCGAAGGGGGGACGGAGAAGGCUAUGUUGGCCGGGCGACGGUUGUCCCGGUUUAAGCGUGUAGGCUGGUUUUCCAGGCAAAUCCGGAAAAUCAAGGCUGAGGCGUGAUGACGAGGCACUACGGUGCUGAAGCAACAAAUGCCCUGCUUCCAGGAAAAGCCUCUAAGCAUCAGGUAACAUCAAAUCGUACCCCAAACCGACACAGGUGGUCAGGUAGAGAAUACCAAGGCGCUUGAGAGAACUCGGGUGAAGGAACUAGGCAAAAUGGUGCCGUAACUUCGGGAGAAGGCACGCUGAUAUGUAGGUGAGGUCCCUCGCGGAUGGAGCUGAAAUCAGUCGAAGAUACCAGCUGGCUGCAACUGUUUAUUAAAAACACAGCACUGUGCAAACACGAAAGUGGACGUAUACGGUGUGACGCCUGCCCGGUGCCGGAAGGUUAAUUGAUGGGGUCAGCGCAAGCGAAGCUCUUGAUCGAAGCCCCGGUAAACGGCGGCCGUAACUAUAACGGUCCUAAGGUAGCGAAAUUCCUUGUCGGGUAAGUUCCGACCUGCACGAAUGGCGUAAUGAUGGCCAGGCUGUCUCCACCCGAGACUCAGUGAAAUUGAACUCGCUGUGAAGAUGCAGUGUACCCGCGGCAAGACGGAAAGACCCCGUGAACCUUUACUAUAGCUUGACACUGAACAUUGAGCCUUGAUGUGUAGGAUAGGUGGGAGGCUUUGAAGUGUGGACGCCAGUCUGCAUGGAGCCGACCUUGAAAUACCACCCUUUAAUGUUUGAUGUUCUAACGUUGACCCGUAAUCCGGGUUGCGGACAGUGUCUGGUGGGUAGUUUGACUGGGGCGGUCUCCUCCUAAAGAGUAACGGAGGAGCACGAAGGUUGGCUAAUCCUGGUCGGACAUCAGGAGGUUAGUGCAAUGGCAUAAGCCAGCUUGACUGCGAGCGUGACGGCGCGAGCAGGUGCGAAAGCAGGUCAUAGUGAUCCGGUGGUUCUGAAUGGAAGGGCCAUCGCUCAACGGAUAAAAGGUACUCCGGGGAUAACAGGCUGAUACCGCCCAAGAGUUCAUAUCGACGGCGGUGUUUGGCACCUCGAUGUCGGCUCAUCACAUCCUGGGGCUGAAGUAGGUCCCAAGGGUAUGGCUGUUCGCCAUUUAAAGUGGUACGCGAGCUGGGUUUAGAACGUCGUGAGACAGUUCGGUCCCUAUCUGCCGUGGGCGCUGGAGAACUGAGGGGGGCUGCUCCUAGUACGAGAGGACCGGAGUGGACGCAUCACUGGUGUUCGGGUUGUCAUGCCAAUGGCACUGCCCGGUAGCUAAAUGCGGAAGAGAUAAGUGCUGAAAGCAUCUAAGCACGAAACUUGCCCCGAGAUGAGUUCUCCCUGACCCUUUAAGGGUCCUGAAGGAACGUUGAAGACGACGACGUUGAUAGGCCGGGUGUGUAAGCGCAGCGAUGCGUUGAGCUAACCGGUACUAAUGAACCGUGAGGCUUAACCUU
rnacentral:rRNA from 1 species